ACUUGUUCAAGUUGUGGGGAACAUUCAACGCUGUCGGUGAGUUUGUAGCUCUGGAAAAAACCAUCGACUGUUGAGUGUACCCUAACUCCUGAGUUCCC
rnacentral:pre_miRNA from 1 species